rnacentral:rRNA from 1 species
GAUGAACGCUGGCGGCGUGCCUAAUACAUGCAAGUCGAGCGAACAGACGAGGAGCUUGCUCCUCUGACGUUAGCGGCGGACGGGUGAGUAACACGUGGAUAACCUACCUAUAAGACUGGGAUAACUUCGGGAAACCGGAGCUAAUACCGGAUAAUAUAUUGAACCGCAUGGUUCAAUAGUGAAAGACGGUUUUGCUGUCACGUAUAGAUGGAUCCGCGCCUCAUUAGCUAGUUGGUAAGGUAACGGCUUACCAAGGCAACGAUGCGUAGCCGACCGGAGAGGGUGAUCGGCCACCCGGGAGCGUAGACACGGUCCAGACUCCUACGGGAGGCAGCAGUAGGGAAUCUUCCGCAAUGGGCGAAAGCUUGACGGAGCAACGCCGCGUGAGUGAUGAAGGUCUUCGGAUCGUAAUACUCUGUUAUUAGGGAAGAACAAAUGUGUAAGUAACUAUGCACGUCUUGACGGUACCUAAUCAGAAAGCCACGGCUAACUACGUG